rnacentral:rRNA from 1 species
AUACGGGGGUGCAAGCGUUGUCCGGAAUCAUUGGGCGUAAAGGGUUCGUAGGUGGAAUUAUAAGUCUGGUGUGAAAGCCCACAGCUCAACUGUGGAACUGCACUGGAUACUGUUUUUCUUGAGUUAUAGAGGGGUUUGUGGAAUUUCUGGUGUAGAGGUGAAAUUUGUAGAGAUCAGAAAGAACACCGGUGGCGAAGGCGACAAACUGGCUAUUAACUGACACUGAGGAACGAAAGCGUGGGGAGCGAACAGGAUUAGAUACCCUAGUAGUCC